rnacentral:rRNA from 1 species
GGAAUAUUGGGCAAUGGCCGAGAGGCUGACCCAGCUAUGCCGCGUGCAGGAAUAAGGCCUUCUGGGUUGUAAACUGCUUUUACAAGGGAAGAAAACGCUCCUGCGGGCGUAACUGACGGUACCUGGUGAACAAGCCCCGGCUAACUCCGUGCCAGCAGCCGCGGUAAUACGGAGGGUGCAAGCGUUGUCCGGAUUUAUUGGGUUUAAAGGGUGCGUAGGCGGCCCGUUGAGUCAGCGGUGAAAUCCCACGGCUCAACCGUGGAACUGCCGUUGAUACUGGCGGGCUUGAGUUCGGUCGAGGCGGGCGGAACUGGUGGUGUAGCGGUGAAAUGCAUAGAUACCACCAAGAACCCCCGAUUGCGUAGGCAGCUCGCUGGGCCGAAACUGACGCUGAGGCACGAAAGCGUGGGGAGCGAAC